UACACUGCUCAUUUCUCACCGCCAGUAAACCACAUCAAUAUCCUCACACAUACACAUGCACAUGCAGUGAGAGGAGAGAGAGAGAGAGAGAGAGAGAGAGAGAGAUUAAACUCUCUUCGAUUUGCUCAUCUUUCCAUGGCAAGCCAUGGUAGUAUAGUUGCUAGUAGGAUUGUUCUUUUGUGAUCGAUCUUAGUGUAUUAGAUUUACUUUCCUUCUAAAUCAGUAAAGAGGAUGACAAAUCUUUUCACAUCAAGAUUUCUAGAAUGAACUGCUUGUUUCAACAACAGUCGGCAAAGCAAGGAUGUCAUGCGUGGCUAAUGUUUCAGGAGUCAUUGAAGGUGGCGCAUUUCAUGGCGACAUGCAAGCUGAGACCCACACUCUGCAAUCCUUCUUGCGAACAGAAGCCUCCAUUCUUUUGCGCACCACUAUGCUUCGACCGGAGGUUGUCGAAGUCUCCCCAAUCUCCUGAGAAGCACACCCAUAGACACGAUGCAGUAUCAGCUUCAUCGAUCCCAACAGUCACAAAGUCUUACCUUAGAUAUGCUACGCAUCGAUUUCAUAAUGAGACGAGAACGAGCAGGAAGAAAUCAAUCGCAAGUUGUGCAAACAAGCACCAGGAAAAGAACCUAUAGAGCUCGGUAGAUCUCAAAAAGCUUAAGCGAAAACAUCGUGAGCUGUAUUGUGUACCUGUUGUGAAUGGGAUCAGGCCCCUUGGGCACUCUCCUCUUGCAGGCAUUGAGCGGGUCCAAGCUCCUGUUCAUGGUGAGCAUGUCUCUUGCUGAAGCCACGACUGCAACAGGCACCGGCGGUGGUGUUCCUCCGCUAAUCGUGGAUGCAGAGAGAAGGAGCUCGAUACACAAGCAGCAUACUAGGCCAGUAACCAAGGCCCUCGUGGACCUACCACCGCACAUUCUUCCCCUUCUCCUAAAUCCUCUUCCCUUGGAACAGCAGGUUGCCGUCGGAGUCGGAAGAGCAAAGCCAGGGAGAGAGGUGUGGGAUGCUGUUGUCUUGUGG
rnacentral:lncRNA from 1 species